CUCUCUCUUCAGUCCUCUCCCAGCCUCCCACACUUUGCAUCUGCUUCUUCCCUUCUCCUUGAACUCAUCGGAACCACCAGUCCAUCAUACAAUGAUCAUUCUUUCAACAAGUUAAGCCUCAACACCGUGAAGAAGGGGAAGGGGAAAUUUGGAAGAAGAUCUGGGGGAUCAAGGGGAGUCUCAACCGUUUGCCGCCGGCUUGCGUUGGCAACAUGGUGAUGGCUACCAUGAAGAAGAGGAAGUCGGAUCUGAGGAAGAAGGUGCUGCCUCCCUUUUUAACAUUAUUGACUGAAUAUAUGUACACCGUGAAUGGGUUUUAUCCUUUCCCUUGCUUUUUAAUCUCCUUGUUUUGGUUCUUAGUGAUGAAGUGGGUGGAUUCAACUUGAAGGUAUCAAGGAUGGCAGUCAUGAUGCACGCCAAGUUAAACUGGAAGAACCUCAGCCAGAUCGACCUCAUCAAAGACUCUGAAUCUGGUUUCAGUGUUUGAAUCAAUCAUAGGUCUAUGCAUAUCAUCUCUAAUCGAAGAUCUCAAACUUCUUCACUGAGUAGGAGGCUGAAACAAUGACAGUGACUAAACCCAAGAAAAUCAUCGUUGACUCCGAUCAUCACUGAACCCAUCCAACUCCAGAAAGAUGAAAUCAAAUGAAUAAGAUCUGGAUGUAAGCCACCCAUCCCCAGAAAGACUCAAUAUUGGACCAGAAGCAAUUAUAAUUAAAAAAAAAAAGAAGCAAAAGCAAUUAUAAUAAUGAUUCCUACCCACUAUAUAUAUAUAUAUAUAUAUAUAUAUAAACAAGCCACGCACAUAAUUAAUCGAGGGUGUUAAGGGGAAAGCCACCCCUCUACAGAGCACUGACCCUAUUAAAAGUGGCUGAGGUGUGGCUAUGGCUGCUAGACACACACAUCUGUGUCCUUUGGGGUCAUUUUGUCACACAUGUUGUGUGUGGCUUUUGCCCAUAAUUGUAGUAGUGGCAGUCACCAAUUUUGUUUUCUUGUUUUUGGUUUUUGCGUUGUUCCUAUAGUAGAUUGAGUUGCUGGUUUUGUAAGUAGACGUGUAGGACCAUACAACAUUGAUUUUUAUGUUCUUGAGUUAAAUGCCUCACUAAGCUGCAUUGAUUUUUAUGUUCUUGAGUUAAAUGCCUCACUAAGCUGCAUUGAUUUUUAUGUUCUUGAGUUGCUGGUUUGUAUCAGUUUGUUGGUUUCCAGUGAAGUAAGUACUAUUUGACUGCUAGUUUUCAAGCUGUUUCUGUUUCCUGCUAUGUAUUCCCAUCUCUCAAAUUCUCAUAAUCUCAAUUGCAUCUCUUAAAUGGAACCAUUCAUUGUAUGAUCUUUGAUUACAAGAUAAAAAAAAAAAAAAAAAAGGAAAAACAACAUAAAUAGAAUUUUAUAUAUUAAAGUAAUAUUCAAAUUUGACAUCUCCAUUGGAGCUAAAAUUAGUUAAAAUGUUGCUAUAUCAAAUUUGCCAUGUCAUAUGUCAAAUUUAAAUUGACCAAAGCCAAAUAACAAAGCCAUUGGAGAUGCUCUUAGUAGUAUUUCCUGUAAAGAUUGUUUACUCCAAUUGAUUUACAUAUGUUAAUUUUCUGCACACAUUAUCUUAAUAGUUUGAUGAUAGAAUUCUAAAGAAAGUUUUUUUAUUAUAAUUUAUCUUAUCCUUUAAAGAAUGGUGGUUGAUAUGAUUAUCGAAAAGGAGAAGGUAAAAGGAAUGGUGCUUGAUAUGAUUCAUUUGCGUAGGUUCUCUUUGACUUAUGUUAUAUGGCUUUGUCAUAGACUGAAGUGUUAAUUUUUCAGGUGCAUAUAGAGGGGCUCAGGGUCAAGAAGAUGGAGAUAUAGUUGUGGGUUUCUCUCUGAAGAGUCUUCUGAGAUAAUGUUUUCUAUUCUGAAAUGGAAAUGCUCAUGGUCUAUGAUAUCGGCGGUUGCUUCUAUUGUGGGAUUGGUUUCACUAAUGUUGGAUUCAAAAGUUCAUCUCCUCUUCUUUCCAUUAGUUCCUUCUUUCGAGUACUUUAGUCAAACGUACUCAUAACUCUUGUGUCCCAAUCAAUGCUUCCACUGAAGCAAUUACGGAUCAUUUUAGGGGAAAUUUAGAACCUCCUAUUGACUUAGAAAAUCAUUUUCCAGCUGACUUGCACAAGGCAGUUGUUUUUCGUGGAGCACCAUGGAAGGCAGAGAUUGGCCGGUGGCUUGCUGGUUGUGGCUCAAUUUCUAAUAAAGUCAACAUUGUGGAGUUAAUAGGUGGGAGUGGCUGCAAAAAUGACUGCAGUGGUCGAGGUUUUUGUAAUCGUGAAUUGGGACAAUGUCGGUGCUUUCAUGGAUAUAGUGCUUCUCCUUGGUUAUAUUUUGUAACCAUACUACCACAGCAGAUAGCAGGCAUAGUGAGAAACUUGGUUUGCAUUAUAAUAUGACGAGUACAGCAGUAGUUAUGGAUGCUAGGAUAGGAAUGUCUUGUGAAAACAGAAGAACAAAUGGGAUAUAAGUAUGGCGAGGCUUGCUUUCGUUUAUGUUUCUAGUAUCAUGUACCAUUUAGACUUAAAUUUUUGUUUUAUUUCGACAUGUUAUGCAUAGAAAUACUUGAGAUGUUGUUAAGUACUUUGAGCAUCAAUAUUAAUCA